ensembl:snoRNA
AAGCCGGCCAAUGAAUCUGCUUAGCUGAAUGUGUUUCUGCAGAAAUGUAAAACAUGCUGGCAAUAGUAAUGUCAUGUUACGAGCCUUAAAGACAUUGUGAGGUCCCUGAAAAUGGCUACAAGA